UACGCUUGACGACUGUUUGCAUAACUACUCUGAUAGCGACCUACCGUCACUUCUUCUAUACUUAGUACGGGUAACAGGAUUAUCCUUGGAGAGGGGAGAAUUUGAUAUGAAACGAUACCAAAUUUUACCUCAGUUAUGAAUCUUACGUUUAACCAGAAUUAACUUCGGAGGCAAUCCCCUAAUGUAUGGUGCAUAUUUGGAGGGUAAAGUUAAGGGGAAAGCGACGUAGGUUCUGGAAUAAGCAGUCGUCGUACUCCCAGUAUCCUGGAGAGAAAAGCUCUGCAGCAUUGUUCCUGGCCACCAUAUGCAUUCAAUUUGACAACUGGUUUUUUAUAUUGUUCUUCGUGGGUGACAUAUGAUGGUAAUUCAAGUUGUCCCACACAUUGACUUCUUCCAGUCAAAGUUUAAUAAUAAGGUAGGUACAGGACGUGUGCCCAAAGGACCUCGAGUAUAGUGUUGCCGAACAAAUGAGUUGACGACUCAUUUAAAAGGCCCGGGAGAUAGAAAUUGCUGCGGAAAAGCUUUUCACGAUAGAAAUGUCGCUUCUCGGA